CUGGCAAGCGCCUCCCCGCCGCGGAAGGAGAUCCUGGGGUUCGCCGUGCCCGGGCGAGACGUGUCGGCGGGGUUUCACGUGAGUGACACUUGGUCCCCACGGGACUGACAGUGACUAGCGUUGUGGCAUGGUGACCUCAGUGACUCUGUCCCUGACUCUGCCCCUUGUGAUGACCCCACCACUGACCCGCAGGCCUUGGAGGGGCUGAUCCUGGAGAAGCCAAAGGACCAGGAGGACACCAUGGGGGUGCUGCUCAGGCUGAGUGGGAAACAGAGCAGUACAGCUUCAUCAUGAGGGUAGCCAUUGUCAUCUGGGGCAUCCACGGGGGCCCUGCUCAGGAAGUGGGCACCUUCCAUGAGGAAACGUGUAUGACUUUCUCUCCACGGUAGGAGGAGCUGAUCCAUGACUACUUGGACACCAGCUAAGGAUGCUGGAAGAAAAGUGUUUUGAAACUGACCCUACAGAUAAAAAGAGUUCAUUGUGAAUGCGAUACCCUCCUAUACUGUUGUCAGAAGCAACCCUCCAUCUCCAACUCCAAAAAUAAAUGAAAACCAAACCACACAGUUGGAAAUCAGGGGUCUGCAACAACACAAGGAAGCAAGCAACCCGUGAGAAAACACUGGCAUGGAUGAAAACAGACUCACUGGAAAGACACAAAGCAAUGUCAGGUUACACAACAAAAGGCAAUUACAGUCAUAUGAGGGGGUGUUCGAAAAGUCGUAAUUUGAAAACUGUUUUUGGUUGUCCUUUAGUUGGCCUCCUCUGUAAAGUGUGACAGACAUCUCCUGGCAACACUUAAAGUAUCUCAAACCAUCAUUGCCCUGACCUAUGAGUUCUCAGAACAGAAGGACUACUGAACCAGCCGUGGUAGCACAUGCUUGUGAUCCUACAACUCAGAAGACAGAAGAAGAAUUCUAGGUCAGCCUGGGCUAGACAGACAGCAAGACUCUUGUUUUGUUUUGAAAGGCUGGUGAGGUAGUUCAGCGGGUUAACUGCCUGGCGCUAAGCCUAGUGACGUGAGUUUGUGUGCUGUGGAGCUUCUGCAAACCCUGCCCCUGCCAAAUAAAAACUCGUAAUUUAUAACUC
rnacentral:lncRNA from 1 species